rnacentral:rRNA from 1 species
GUCUACGGCCAUGCUACCGUGAACAUGCCGAAUCCUGUCUGAUCGGGGAAGCUAAGCAGGGUCGGGCCUGGUUAGUACUUGGAUGGGAGACCACCUAGGAAGACCAAGUGCUGUAGACG